GGGGGUGUAGCUCAGUGGUAGAGCACUUGCCUAGUAUGUGCACAGCCCAGGGCUCCAUCCCCAGCAUCCCUC
rnacentral:tRNA from 1 species